rnacentral:rRNA from 1 species
GCAGUCGACGGCAGCAUAGGAGCUUGCUCCUGAUGGCGAGUGGCGAACGGGUGAGUAAUAUAUCGGAACGUGCCCUAGAGUGGGGGAUAACUAGUCGAAAGACUAGCUAAUACCGCAUACGAUCUACGGAUGAAAGUGGGGGAUCGCAAGACCUCAUGCUCCUGGAGCGGCCGAUAUCUGAUUAGCUAGUUGGUGGGGUAAAAGCCUACCAAGGCAACGAUCAGUAGCUGGUCUGAGAGGACGACCAGCCACACUGGGACUGAGACACGGCCCAGACUCCUACGGGAGGCAGCAGUGGGGAAUUUUGGACAAUGGGGGCAACCCUGAUCCAGCAAUGCCGCGUGAGUGAAGAAGGCCUUCGGGUUGUAAAGCUCUUUUGUCAGGGAAGAAACGGUAGUAGCGAAUAACUAUUACUAAUGACGGUACCUGAAGAAUAAGCACCGGCUAACUACGUGCCAGCAGCCGCGGUAAUACGUAGGGUGCAAGCGUUAAUCGGAAUUACUGGGCGUAAAGCGUGCGCAGGCGGUUGUGUAAGUCAGAUGUGAAAUCCCCGGGCUCAACCUGGGAAUUGCAUUUGAGACUGCACGGCUAGAGUGUGUCAGAGGGGGGUAGAAUUCCACGUGUAGCAGUGAAAUGCGUAGAUAUGUGGAGGAAUA